rnacentral:rRNA from 1 species
UACGCAGGGGGCUAGCGUUGCUCGGAAUCACUGGGCGUAAAGCGCACGUAGGCGGCUUUUUAAGUCAGAGGUGAAAUCCUGGAGCUCAACUCCAGAACUGCCUUUGAUACUGGAGAGCUUGAGUCCGGGAGAGGUGAGUGGAACUGCGAGUGUAGAGGUGAAAUUCGUAGAUAUUCGCAAGAACACCAGUGGCGAAGGCGGCUCACUGGCCCGGUACUGACGCUGAGGUGCGAAAGCGUGGGGAGCAAACAGG